AUGAACCGACCAAAAAGGAACUCAGCAGGCAGGAGGUCCCCCGAGCUCCAACACCUGUUGGAGUUCCGUCGUCAAUGUUGGAUGUCGUCCCCCACCGACAGGAAGGGGGUCACCCUCCCAUACUCGCCUGAGGGGGAAUGGAUCCUCCAAAAUUAUGCCCGGCUGUGGGAGAGCAUCUCCCAGGAGGAGCCACAGAGGUCCCCUCCACCUACCCAGCUGCCAACGAUCCCAGAGGGUCGUGUCCUGGCCGUGGCAACCCUGGGGAAUCAGGCAAGUCCCUCCCAAAAUCCUGAGGCACCUCCCACUACCUUCAGUCUCCCCAACAAGCGAGGGAGACGGUUGUCGUGGGAGUCAGCUUCAGAGUCUUCGGCGUCCGAGUCUGCCCUGCCCGAGACCAAACUCCCCCAACCCGCCUCUGACCCAGCUGUGGCCUCUGCACCGCGCCCAAGGAGGAAGAGGAAGAAGAAGGGGCCUGCCGGUCCUGUGACCCUGCCUCCUCCUGUGCCAGCAGCGGAGAGCGCUGGCGUGCCCGAGCCAGCAGCGGUGAGCGUGCCCGUGCCAGCAGCGGUGAGCGUGCCCGAGCCAGCAGCGGAGAGCGUGCCCGAGCGAGCAGCGGAGAGCGCUGGCGUGCCUGAGCCAGCAGCGGAUAGCGCUGGCGUGCCCGAGCCAGUAGCGGAGAGCGCUGGCGUGCCCGAGCCAGUAGCGGAGAGCGCUGGCGUGCCCGAGCCAGUAGCGGAGAGCGCUGGCGUGCCCGAGCCAGUGAAUAAGAGAACAGGUUUCAAGUCUGCUGUCGUGAGGGCGGAGGAGAGAGCCGCGGCCGACACUGCAGCAGAAACUUUGAUACAGUCUGUCUCGUCUCGUAAGGAGAUGCCGGUUAUUAUUGCCGCCAAAGCCUUGUCUGAUUAUUUGUCCCGUCUUGUCCAGAUCCUGGAAAUCCCCGCCAGUCCUGUCUUGUCCCCUGACCCUGUCCCCAGAGAUCCCGAGCCAACCACAGUUAGUGCUACUCCUGACCCAGUUUCUGUCUCCCCUGAUCUUGCCCCGUGUCCUGUGAACGUUGCCCCGUGUCCCGUGAGUGUUGCCCCGUGUCCUGUUGUCUCCCCGUGUCCAGCUGUCGUCUCCCCGCGUCCCGUAAGUGUUGCCCCGCGUCCCGUGUCUGCUCCUGUCAUGUCCUCUGUCAGUUGUCCCGAGACCCCUCCCCACCCCUCACCACCCAGACCUGCCCGUACCCCCCGUCGUCAGCCUUCGUCCUGUCCUCCUAAGAUCCCUACCCCUCCCACCCACCCUGGUCUGUCCCCCAUGAACUUUGUGCUCCCGCCUCCUCCCCUUCCCUGUUUGUUUUUCUUGAUAUGCCACCCUAACCCUAUUGUUGUGUUUUCAUGUCUGCCCUUAUUACUAUUUGUCAUGUCGUGUUGGUUUUUGUCUCUGUCCCAGUCAGUCAUGUCCCGCGUUUGAUGUUCCCUUUAGGGAGCGUCUGGAAAGCCGCUCCUUAAGGGAGGGGGUUCUGUCAUGGUCCUGCCAUCAUGUCCUGACUUUUCUCUAGUCUAGAGGCAGGAUCAUGACAGACCCGUGUUUUGUGUACAAGCACAUGGCCUUGUCUUUGGGCCAUGUGCUUGUGUUGUCUCGUUCCCUUGCCCCGCCCCCCUUGUUAUCCUAGUCUUGUCGUGAUUGUCCUAUCUGUGCCACCUGUCGUGUCUUGAUUAGUUCCCCUAUUUAGAUCUCCUAGUGUGCUCUGUCUUUUGUCGGUUCAUUGUGAUUGUUCAACUUAUGUGUUCCCACCAGUCAGCCUCCAGAGAUGUCUUGUCCUUGAAACCCCUCAAAGAAGUCUUUUGUCUAGCAAUGAGUGUUUGUUAGUAGUUAGUGUUCAGAGUCUUUGUUUACCUUGUUUAUUGUGUUUUGUAGAAUUAUUUAGUGUCUACCCUAGCCCUUGUUUUCCCCCCCGUGGGUUUUUGUUUUCCCUUUUUGUUAAAUAAAUCCUGUGUUUAGUUACUUCCUGUCUGCACCUGAGUUCCUCCCUUACCAACCCAUGACACGAUCAAGAAUAAAAGAAAAAUUCACAAGACAUUCACAAGACAUAAAAACCCAGAUCAUUUUCCUUUAUUAACAGUCACCCUGGAGAUUCUGUCUGAAAAGAUAUGUACAUAACACAAACUUAAAAAUUAAAGUAGUCUUAAGAUCUCUUUUAAGAGCCAAACUUUAGCCCUUUUGGUGAGUUGGAGCAUGCAAGGCAUCGAUUCCUCAUUUAAAUUCCUCUGGCCAAAAUGAUUCAGAUAAAUGAAGAAAGAUCAAUAUCAUUGAUUUCUUAUCCUUUUUUUUUAGAUCAGUUCUCUGACAAGACAAUGAAUGGUGAAAGAAGUGAGUGGGUGUGUGUUCAAAGAUGUAACUAUGUGCUAUCAAGGACUCAAACUGAGGAGUGUCAAUAAAUUUGAUCCAGAGAGAGCUCUAUCCAUCAGUCCUUGUGAAUACAGCGCAGCUGGACAGGCCACCACUGGCUGACUCCAUCUUUGAUCCGCAUUCCCACUGAGACACUAGUCCCAGACACUAACUCUGGAGUUGUGACGAAGCCCCUGGUGGGACCAUCCACAGGGGUCUCUCUGUCUACAGGGUAUUUAAAGCAACAUUGUCUGCCCUGCUGAUGGAAAAAUGCAGACACAAACACAUAUUCAGAGCCUGAUUUCCCAUGUAUUGUGGGUAGGAACAUCAAAAUUACACUGAUUUAAAAUAAAUAAAAAUAAAAUAAAAUAAAUAACUAAAUAACUUCAAAAUUAGGAGUUUACUGAGGGAAAACUGUUAAUAGUGAACAUGUGUUCACUAACCUAAAGUGUUACCAUAUAAUUUUACCAAAUUAUUUAGUGAAUCAUUUAUUUUGUCUGUAAAAUGCUUUUUAUAAAGCUUCUAAAACACUAUCAAGGUACCAAUGUGAGUUACUGAGUUACUAUGGUGACUUUAUUUAGUAUUUCAAUAUAAUGCAUGGUUUAAACUUCAGGAACAAUAGUCUAACUCUCAUUGUUUUGAUGCGCUGAUGCAACAUGAGCAAAGCAAGUUAAAGACAUACAAGCACUACCGUAGUCUGUCUAAUAAUGAUGGAAGUGUUUGUGUUUCCACACAUGCACAGUUCUCCUCCUCUGAUCUUUCCAGAUGCAGAGUUUCUGUUUGCUUGUAAAGAGGUAAGUCAGUUAGCAAAGAGUACAUUACUGUCACAGAGACAUGCAUGUUAUUUCUUGACCUUGUACAUACUGUUUUUUUGUUCUUGCAUUAAACUGAUUUGAAUGUUUCUACUUAUUACACAGACUAUUAUACACCAUUAUAUACCAUCAUAACAUGGUAUAACAUGGUCAUGGAUGAUGACAUCACUGAAUCAACAAUGAACUGACUGAUAAACUGUUUUCUAUUGUCCUCUUGCAUUAUCAGCACACAUUUUACAUUAUCAACACUGUAAAGCUGUAAAGUUAUAGUGAAAUAUUUUCUUUUCGGUCCCACUUUAUAUUGUGUCCCUAAUACAUGUGUACUUACAUAGUAACUAGAUGUGUACACAGUAUGUAACCAAAAUAAAUAAUAAAAAAAAUAAAACAAAAAUAAAGCUACUUGUGAUAAACUGUACCCCCGUUUUUUUUUUUUUAUUAUUAUUAUUAUUAUUAUUAUUAUUAUUAUUAUUAUUAUUAUUAUUAUUAUUAUUAUUAUUAUUAUUUGUUCAUAAAACCUAAAAGCCCCUAAAUUGUCCUUGUCAAACACUGCAGUAACCAGGAGAGGUGACCUCCAAAAGCAUGUACCCAAGGGCCUCACAGGACCAUGAAAAGUCCCUGGCUCAGAUGUGGAAAUGUUUGUGUGUUCCAUGUGUGGAGAUGACAAACAGCUGGACAAGCGAUUCAGGCAUGUUUUUGCCAUGUCUCUUCUCCUAAGAAUGGCAUCAUUAUAUAUCAAGAGCUCUUUACACCUCUUUCUACCUCACUGUGGCCCCGUUCCUAUAGCCACAUUGUCUUUCUCUAGUUUAUGACCUCAUCUCCAGCGAUCACCACAUUCAACGACUUAUCUGCGCUCCCAUCAUUACCGCCCAUGUCGGCAUCCUGCCUUUGUCGUAUACUUUAUGUAUCGAUUUAUUUACCUAUUAUUCUGUGACUCCAACUGCAAUGCUCCUGGAAGCUCCUUGGCUUCACCCAUGCAAAGUGUGCCAAAUAGAUCUCCCAUGAGGUGUCAGCAAGAUGUACUUCUUGUAAAGUCAGGCACUUUUUUUUUUUUUACACCUUAACCUCAACCAUCAUUGGAAGGGAAGACUCUCUUAUUUGCACCAUAAAACAUACUGCAUACCGAACGCCUUUAAAAGCAUCUACCGAUCCCGAAGGGAGGAGGAGAGCAAGUCCUGAAAAUGCAAGGUUUUGUACGUUAAGAAUAGAGUUGGCUAGUGAAAGCGAACAUUUUUUGAUAUUGAAAUGGAUUAAGUCCUCCUCCUCAUUUUUUUCUCCUGCUUUUCUCUGCAUUAAAUGCUAGCAG
ensembl:lncRNA